rnacentral:rRNA from 1 species
GAUGAACGCUAGCGGCAGGCUUAACACAUGCAAGUCGAGGGGUAACAGAGGUAGCUUGCUACUUGCUGACGACCGGCGCACGGGUGCGUAACGCGUAUAGAAUCUACCUUAUACUGGGGGAUAGCCUUUGGAAACGAAGAUUAAUACCCCAUAGUAUGUUUGAAUGGCAUCAUUUGGACAUUAAAGUUUCGGCGGUAUAAGAUGACUAUGCGUUCUAUUAGUUUGUUGGUAAGGUAACGGCUUACCAAGACUACGAUAGAUAGGGGUCCUGAGAGGGAGAUCCCCCACACUGGUACUGAGACACGGACCAGACUCCUACGGGAGGCAGCAGUGAGGAAUAUUGGACAAUGGAGGCAACUCUGAUCCAGCCAUGCCGCGUGUAGGAAGACUGCCCUAUGGGUUGUAAACUACUUUUAUAUGGGAAGAAUAAGGUCUACGUGUAGACUGAUGACGGUACCAUAAGAAUAAGCACCGGCUAACUCCGUGCCAGCAGCCGCGGUAAUA